rnacentral:rRNA from 1 species
UACGGAGAGGGAUAGCGUUGUUCGGCAUUACAGGGCGUAAAGCGCACGUCGGCGGGUUGUUAAGUGGGGGGUGAAAUCCCGGGGCUCAACCCCGGAACGGCCUCCGAUACUGGCAAGCUGGAGUGCGGGAGAGGUGAGUGGAAUGGAGAGUGUAGAGGUGAAAUUCGUAGCUAUUCGGCGGAACACCAGUGGCGAAGGCGGCUCACUGGCCCGAUACUGACGCUGAGGUGCGAAAGCGUGGGGCGCCACCAGG